GACGAACGCUGGCGGCGUGCCUAAUACAUGCAAGUAGAACGCUGAAGGAGGAGCUUGCUCUUCUGGAUGAGUUGCGAACGGGUGAGUAACGCGUAGGUAACCUGCCUGGUAGCGGGGGAUAACUAUUGGAAACGAUAGCUAAUACCGCAUAACAGUAGAUGUUGCAUGACAUUUGCUUAAAAGGUGCAAUUGCAUCACUACCAGAUGGACCUGCGUUGUAUUAGCUAGUUGGUGGGGUAACGGCUCACCAAGGCGACGAUACAUAGCCGACCUGGGAGGGGGCUCGGCCACACUGGGACUGAGACACGGCCCAGACUCCUACGGGAGGCAGCAGUAGGGAAUCUUCGGCAAUGGACGGAAGUCUGACCGAGCAACGCCGCGUGAGUGAAGAAGGUUUUCGGAUCGUAAAGCUCUGUUGUAAGAGAAGAACGAGUGUGAGAGUGGAAAGUUCACACUGUGACGGUAUCUUACCAGAAAGGGACGGCUAACUACGUG
rnacentral:rRNA from 1 species